rnacentral:tRNA from 1 species
GCGGAUGUGGCGGAAUUGGCAGACGCGCUGGAUUUAGGUUCCAGUGGGGCAGCCCGUGCAGGUUCAAGUCCUGUCAUCCGCA